rnacentral:lncRNA from 1 species
ACAUUAAAACAUCUGUUGUUUCCUUAUAAGAGAAUAGGAAUUUUCAAGUGGUAAUUUCUGAGAUUUUGGUACAUCCAUCACCAAGUAGUGUACACUGUACCCAAUGCGUAGUCUUUUAUCCCUCAACCCCCUCUCACCCUGACUUUAUCACAUAUCUCUUAUAAAGACUUCUUAUUUUUUAGCAAAUUUUUAGGAUUCUGCCUGGCCUUUUAGAAAGUCAUUUACCACGUGAGAAAGUCAUUUCUAUUAUGUGCUCUUAUAAUGCCUAUGAGAUUCAUUUGGAAUGCCACUAGAGGCAAAAUAUUGUUUUUUCCCCCAGCUCUUACAGUGAUUUAUGAAUAUUUAAAUUGAUAUGUUAAAAUUUCCCUAUACAAUAUAUUAAUAAGUUGUGUCACCAGGUAAUAGAAAAGUCAGAGCAUUCCAACGUGAUACUGAAAAGAAAUGCUGAAUAAUUGGGUUGGAGUUGAAAUGGUGUUAUACAUAACUAGAGAAGUGACACAUUAAGGAGCUCUUUCUUUCUUGGAAAAUACCUUGAUUCCCAAACCCCUUUUCUGGGGCUUCCAGAAGAAGUCUAUGAGCUUAACUAGUAUGUUAAACUGCCCUGUUACAGUCACACAGUUGGAUGUUUUAUUAAGAUUAGUACAUAUUCCUCAUGAAUAUCAAGUUUGUGUUUGCUUUGUAAAUUCUGAUUUAUAUAUAUAUGUGGCAUAUCUAUAUUAGCAUUCUCUUUUAUUCAAAUCAUUAACUUCUAAUAGAAAAAGGGGGGUUGUG